rnacentral:lncRNA from 1 species
GGUGUUUUACUGUGGUGAAAGUGUACCAAGGCCUCCCCACCCAAGAUCAGUCUACUCCAGUACUAUUGAUGCUUUUUCUUUGCCAGGUCACCCCAGACUCCUGAGGUUUUGUCUUGAAGCUUUCUCCUCCACUGUGUCCUGGAUACUCAUCUGCUCUAAUCAGGCAAUGCUACAAGUAAAGUGAGCUGCAGUCUUGUCCAGGAACUUGCCAGAGUUAAAAGUUCUCCAAGCAGAGGUUGGAGAUGAUGAAUGGUGAGUGGUGCUCAUGCUCAGUAAAUCUGUCACCAAGCUGGAAAUUCGCUUG